AACGAACGCUGGCGGCAUGCCUAACACAUGCAAGUCGAACGAGACCUUCGGGUCUAGUGGCGCACGGGUGCGUAACGCGUGGGACCCUGCCCUUAUGUUCGGAAUAACUCCCCGAAAUGGGUGCUAAUACCGGAUAAUGUCUUCGGACCAAAGAUUUAUCGCCUUUGUAUGGGCCCGCGUUGUAUUAGCUUGUUGGUAUGGUAAAAGCCUACCAAGGCGACGAUCCAUAGCUGGUCUGAGAGGAUGCUCAGCCACACUGCGACUGAGACACGGCCCAGACUCCGACGGGGGGCCGCAGUGGGGAAUAUUGCACAAGGGACGCGAGGGUAAUCCUGGCAUACCGCGGGGGUGAAGAACGCCUUCGGGUUGUAGAGCGCUGAUGUUGGGAAAGAAGUACAGCAGGUUUACACCGCACGAUACUGACGGUACCCAGAGAAUAAGCACCGGCUAACUUCGUG
rnacentral:rRNA from 1 species